CAGCAGGAGGCGCGGGAGCAGAAAGAGGAUGAUGAUCUUAAACGUGCCACUGAAUUAAGUCUACAAGAGUUUAACAGUUCUCUCCUGGAUAGUCUUGGCUCUGAUGAUGACUCUGGGAAUGAGGAUUUUCUAGACAUGGAGUACUCUGAAGCGGAAGCUGAGGAACUGAAAAGAAAUGCUGAGGUGAUGAUCUGGGAAACCAGGGGAAGAACACUAGCAUGUUUAAUAGGUGGUAAAUGCUUAAGCAAGGUUUCGUGGCUUGGAUAGUUCAGUCUGGAUAAUAUGGCACACUGGAUCAUCUUUAUUUAGCUAUCUCAAUGAUGAUCAACAGUGAGAAACAGUGAAUUGUUGCUAAAGUGAAACAUCAAAUGUGUUUCCCUCAUGCCCAAACUGAAAAGCCUGGCCAUAUUUCAUUCUUCCUGAGAGUAAAAAAAAAUCUUGGUUUGUUAGAAGGUGUACAUUUCACAAGUUCAGUGCAGUUUCUGUUCUGUCAGGGAGUUCUAUAUUACUCCAUGUUUGUAAAAAUUCAUCCUUGGCUGUCCUGUUUUUCACAAUGGAAGGAUUGUAGUCAUGAGAAUUAGAAUUGGGGAAAAAACAUGAAAAUAUUCAUUGGAAACAUGAAGUGACUUUUCUCAGCUAGUUAAAUUUGUCUGGAUAAGGAUAGCUUGGCUUUGGCUAUCUGGCUACUGGCUCUACCCUAACUUCCAUUGGUGGUAUAAUAAUAAUAAUAAUAAUAAUAAUAAUAAUAAUAAUAAUAAUAAUAAUAAUAAUAAUAAUAAUAAUAAUAAUUGUUAUUGUUAUUAU